GGGAUUUGGAAGAAUUUUUCUCAGACUAAGGAUUGUCAAUCCAAUUCGCAUAAGAAUGUUCACUCUGCGUCUGCUAGGUGGCGCUGCAGGCUAAUGCAUGGGUCCCUUAGCGCCUCGCCGGAGUCUGUGAGGCUAACCCUGAGAGAAGGAAGCUGCUGCCACUGUUUCGGUCCAGGAAGGAUAUCAGCACUGUGAGAGGGAGGAGACAUACUCUUGCCAAGACUUGACUUCUGUCAACUUAAGAAUCGCUCCUCUUCUUCCGGAUGGAUCGUAGCUGGCAUUGAAGGGGCUUCUGGAUCACGUGCUUUGUAAUUCUUUAGGGAAAUUCUGGGGGGUCCAAGCUUGGUGAGAAAAGCUGUGGUUUUCUUUGUCCGAAUUUCCAAAAGGUGUUCAGUAACUUUGGAAGAAAGAUUCAAGAAUGAAAGGAAGUCAUCAUAAUUCAAAGGUUUGGGGAGGGAGAACCUCGUUGUGCCCUGCUUAAGUGAUUCUGAACUGUGUAAAACAGUGGCUUUCAGACUAUAAUUUGCCCUGAUUGGUUGUAUUUUAUAAAGAGCAUUCUGCACCAUUUUGAGAGCACUUGUCUCUGCCUCUCCUUGUGCACAUAGGUACCACAACUUGUCCACUACUGCCUACAAAAGACAGACUGAUAAACUUAGGUUUUAAAGUAAGAAGAGAGACCACUUACAAACUUAACGUAGUGGAUUGGCACAUGGGUACACUCAAACCACCUCAGAAAACUUGGUCCCAAGAGCUUAUCAGACACAGCAGACAAUGGAAGCAUGCAACACCUUCCCCUGGAUCCCACAAAUGGACACCUGACUCUGGUCUCCUACUUCUCACUCAACCCUGUAGCCCAGGCUCAGCCCUACAGCAGUCGUGUAAGCUCUGCACAGGGUUCUUUAACAUUUCUUCUAACAACCAGCAGUGACUCUCUUUGUAUCUGUCUCCAGUAGGGUUUCUUUGAACUGCAGAACCCUGACUUGGCCUUUUGGACUCCUUUGUUGCCAUUCUGUUCUCUGCAUAUAUACGGAUAGAUACAAUUGCUAACACUGUGUAAGGUGUGAUCAAGAGUUAAUAUUAGUGAUUAAGACUGGAAUAAAGUCAUUCAUGUUUGCCCAUGGGCAGCCACCAAAGGACAUCAGGACUAUUUGGCAAACUGCACCCAACUACAACAGCACGACCUAUGAAUUUAUGGUCACUCAAUAAACUGUGACACUGCAAAAAGACAUG
rnacentral:lncRNA from 1 species